GACGAACGCUGGCGGCGUGCCUAAUACAUGCAAGUCGAGCGAAUCAAUAGGAGCGCAGCUCUUUUGGUUAGCGGCGGACGGGUGAGUAACACGUGGGCAACCUGCGUGUAAGACUGGGAUAACUUCGGGAAGCCGGAGCUAAUACCGGAUAAUCCUUUUCCACUCAUGUGGAAAAGCUGAAAGUCGGUUUCGGCUGACACUUACAGAUGGGCCCGCGGCGCAUUAGCUAGUUGGUGAGGUAACGGCUCACCAAGGCGACGAUGCGUAGCCGACCUGAGAGGGUGAUCGGCCACACUGGGACUGAGACACGGCCCAGACUCCUACGGGAGGCAGCAGUAGGGAAUCUUCCGCAAUGGACGAAAGUCUGACGGAGCAACGCCGCGUGAGCGAUGAAGGCCUUCGGGUCGUAAAGCUCUGUUGUUAGGGAAGAACAAGUAUCGGAGUAACUGCCGGUACCUUGACGGUACCUAACCAGAAAGCCACGGCUAACUACGUGCCAGCAGCCGCGGUAAAAC
rnacentral:rRNA from 1 species